rnacentral:rRNA from 1 species
AUUGAACGCUGGCGGCAGGCCUAACACAUGCAAGUCGAGCGGAGUGGCGGUCGGGUGAGUAAUGCCCAGGAAUCGGCAAGUUAGGGGGGGAGAACGACAGGUAAAGGGCGCUAAUAUCAUAUACUAUACGAUGCGCCUAGGAGGGAUUAGAUCGAUGGUGGGUGAAAGGCAUACCAAGGCGACGAGCCGUAACUGGUCUGAGAGGAGGAUCAGUCAGACGGGAACUGGGACCCGGUCCAGACUCCUACGGGAGGCAGCAGUUGUGAAUAUUGGACAAUGGGCGAAAGCCUGAUCCAGCCAUGCCGCGUGUGUGAAGCAGGUCUUCGGAUUGUAAAGCACUUUAAGUUGGGAGGCGUUACCAACAGAAUAAGCACCGGCUAACUUCGUGCCAGCAGCCGCGGUAAUUC